UGUGAAAUCAGUCGACAUAAACUGUAUUAAAAAUAAAUAUUAUAAUAAAUUUUCCCAAAAUUCUUGCUGCAAUUAAAAUGGCUAUCACAGAGAACGGCCCAGUGGGCUUGGUCCAAUAUUUAAAUGCAAUGAUAGACGUGAAGUAUGGUUAUCAAAAGUUUAAGGUGAUAGCUGCUGCUGCUUAUAGUGCUGAUGAUGCCAUUGUCCUGGAUUCCUAUGGUGGCGAAGUAACCGAUGAAGAAAUCAAGGAACUGAAAACUUACCUCGAGCAGAUGCAUAACAUCUAUUGUUUCGUGGUCGACAAAUAACUCACAGUCAAUACGAAAAGAAGAAGAAAAUAUGGCGGGGUAUCGGAAUAGUAGUAUACAUGGAAUUUAUUUCAAUUAUCAUUUUAUUCUUCUUGGGAGAACAUACAUAUGUACACAAUUAACAUGCCAAUAGUAAAAAAAACUGAAGUUUUACUUUAAUAAAACUAACCAUCUAAAGAUCUAAAUUUGACUGGGCUAUUUCUAUAGUGUGUUUUGGAUUCUUGGUUCUCCUUGACAUCUAUAAUAAGGGGACUUCAAAUUAUAUUUCAAACUUUGUGAACGGUGGAUUAUCCUCUACAUGGAAUUUACACAACUAAACAACUUUAUUCUUUAAGUUAACUAAAAAAAAAGGACCAUAAAAAAACAGCCUAAAGAUAAGUAAACUUUACGAGGAUCUCUCUGACGGAGCUUUUCGUUUUGGUUACUCCCUGGAGGAGUAUCCUUUUUUUUUUGUUUGGUCAUGCAUAACAUCUAUUGUUACGUGGUCGACAAAUAACUCACAGUCAAUACGAAAAGAAGAAGAAAAUAUGGCGGUGUAUCGGAAUAGUAGUAUACAUGGAAUUUAUUUCAAUUAUCAUUUUAUUCUUCUUGGGAGAACAUACAUAUGUACACAAUUAACAUGCCAAUAGUAAAAAAAACUGAAGUUUUACUUUUAUAAAACUAACCAUCUAAAGAUCUAAAUUUGACUGGGCUAUUUCUAUAGUGUGUUUUGGAGAACCAAGACUCCUUGACAUCUAUAAUAAGGGGACUUCAAAUUAUAUUUCAAACUUUGUGAACGGUGGAUUAUCCUCUACAUGGAAUUUACACAACUAAACAACUUUAUUCUUUAAGUUAACUAAAAAAAAAGGACCAUAAAAAAACAGCCUAAAGAUAAGUAAACUUUACGAGGAUCUCUCUGACGGAGCUUUUCGUUUUGGUUACUCCCUGGAGGAGUAUCCUUUUUUUUUUGUUUGGUCAUGCAUAACAUCUAUUGUUACGUGGUCGACAAAUAACUCACAGUCAAUACGAAAAGAAGAAGAAAAUAUGGCGGGGUAUCGGAAUAGUAGUAUACAUGGAAUUUAUUUCAAUUAUCAUUUUAUUCUUCUUGGGAGAACAUACAUAUGUACACAAUUAACAUGCCAAUAGUAAAAAAAACUGAAGUUUUACUUUUAUAAAACUAACCAUCUAAAGAUCUAAAUUUGACUGGGCUAUUUCUAUAGUGUGUUUUGGAGAACCAAGACUCCUUGACAUCUAUAAUAAGGGGACUUCAAAUUAUAUUUCAAACUUUGUGAACGGUGGAUUAUCCUCUACAUGGAAUUUACACAACUAAACAACUUUAUUCUUUAAGUUAACUAAAAAAAAAGGACCAUAAAAAAACAGCCUAAAGAUAAGUAAACUUUACGAGGAUCUCUCUGACGGAGCUUUUCGUUUUGGUUACUCCCUGGAGGAGUAUCCUUUUUUUUUUGUUUGGUCAUGCAUAACAUCUAUUGUUACGUGGUCGACAAAUAACUCACAGUCAAUACGAAAAGAAGAAGAAAAUAUGGCGGGGUAUCGGAAUAGUAGUAUACAUGGAAUUUAUUUCAAUUAUCAUUUUAUUCUUCUUGGGAGAACAUACAUAUGUACACAAUUAACAUGCCAAUAGUAAAAAAAACUGAAGUUUUACUUUUAUAAAACUAACCAUCUAAAGAUCUAAAUUUGACUGGGCUAUUUCUAUAGUGUGUUUUGGAUUCUUGGUUUUCCUUGACUUCUAUAAUAAGGGGACUUCAAAUUAUAUUUCAAACUUUGUAAACGGUGGAUUAUCCUCUACAUGGAAUUUACACAACUAAACAACUUUAUUCUUUAAGUUAACUAAAAAAAAAGGACCAUAAAAAAACAGCCUAAAGAUAAGUAAACUUUACGAGGAUCUCUCUGACGGAGCUUUUCGUUUUGGUUACUCCCUGGAGGAGUAUCCUUUUUUUUUGUUUGGUCAUGCAUAACAUCUAUUGUUACGUGGUCGUGGUCGACAAAUAACUCACAGUCAAUACGAAGAGAAGAAGAAAAUAUGGCGGGGUAUCGGAAUAGUAGUAUACAUGGAAUUUAUUUCAAUUAUCAUUUUAUUCUUCUUGGGAGAACAUACAUAUGUACACAAUUAACAUGCCAAUAGUAAAAAAAACUGAAGUUUUACUUUAAUAAAACUAAUCGUGUGUUGUCUUAAAAUUCGUUUGGACGUUUUGCCGCAAAGCCAUCUAAAGAUCUAAAUUUGACUGGGCUAUUUCUAUAGUGUGUUUUGGAUUCUUGGUUUUCCUUGACUUCUAUAAUAAGGGGACUUCAAAUUAUAUUUCAAACUUUGUAAACGGUGGAUUAUCCUCUACAUGGAAUUUACACAACUAAACAACUUUAUUCUUUAAGUUAACUAAAAAAUAAAGGACCAUAAAAAACA